rfam:Sorghum bicolor cultivar BTx623 chromosome 9, whole genome shotgun sequence.
GUAGUCGGAUUCACUUCAAUCCAUAUGUGUUGGUGUGGAUUGGGAUGAAAUAUAGUUCAAGUUCCACUCCAAUCCACCUCAACACAUGUGGAUUGAUUUGAAUCCAACU